rnacentral:tRNA from 1 species
UUCUUUUUAGUUUAAUGGUAGAACCUGGUACUCCUAAUACCUGUGUAUAAGUUCGAAUCUUAUAAAAGAAA